GUCUUGCCGGGGCCUUGAGCCCCCUGAAGAGUCGUUCGAGACCAGGACGUUGAUAGGCUGGGUGUGGAAGCGCAGUAAUGCGUUAAGCUAACCAGUACUAAUUGCUCGUGAGGCUUGACCCU
rnacentral:rRNA from 1 species